UACGUAGGGUGCAAGCGUUGUCCGGAAUUAUUGGGCGUAAAGAGCUCGUAGGCGGUUUGUCGCGUCUGCCGUGAAAACCCGAGGCUCAACCUCGGGCCUGCAGUGGGUACGGGCAGACUAGAGUGCGGUAGGGGAGAGUGGAAUUCUUGGUGUAGCGGUGAAAUGCGCAGAUAUCAGGAAGAACACCAAUGGCGAAAGCAGCUCUCUGGGACGGUACUGACGCUGAGACGCGAAAGCGUGGGGAGCGAACAGG
rnacentral:rRNA from 1 species